rnacentral:rRNA from 1 species
UACGUAGGGUGCGAGCGUUAAUCGGCCUUACUGGGCGUAAAGCGUACGCAGGCGGCUCUUCAAGUCAGAUGUGAAAGCCCCGGGCUUAACCUGGGAAUGGCGUUUGAAACUGGAGGGCUGGAGUGUGGCAGAGGGAGGUGGAAUUCCACGUGUAGCAGUGAAAUGCGUAGAGAUGUGGAGGAACACCGAUGGCGAAGGCAGCCUCCUGGGCCAACACUGACGCUCAUGCACGAAAGCGUGGGGAGCAAACAGG